rnacentral:rRNA from 6 species
AGAGUUUGAUCCUGGCUCAGGAUGAACGCUGGCGGCGUGCUUAACACAUGCAAGUCGAACGAACCUUCGGGUUAGUGGCGGACGGGUGAGUAACGCGUGGGAAUCUGCCCUCAGGAGGGGGAUAACGGUUGGAAACGACCGCUAAUACCCCAUAUGCCGAGAGGUGAAAUGAAUUUCGCCUGAGGAUGAGCCCGCGUCUGAUUAGCUUGUUGGUGAGGUAAUGGCUCACCAAGGCAUCGAUCAGUAGCUGGUCUGAGAGGAUGAUCAGCCACACUGGGACUGAGACACGGCCCAGACUCCUACGGGAGGCAGCAGUGGGGAAUUUUCCGCAAUGGGCGAAAGCCUGACGGAGCAACGCCGCGUGAGGGACGAAGGCCUCUGGGCUGUAAACCUCUUUUCUCAAGGAAGAAGAUAUGACGGUACUUGAGGAAUAAGCCACGGCUAAUUCCGUGCCAGCAGCCGCGGUAAUACGGGAGUGGCAAGCGUUAUCCGGAAUUAUUGGGCGUAAAGCGUCCGCAGGCGGCCUUUCAAGUCUGCUGUUAAAGCGUGGAGCUUAACUCCAUCAUGGCAGUGGAAACUGAUUGGCUUGAGUAUGGUAGGGGCAGAGGGAAUUCCCGGUGUAGCGGUGAAAUGCGUAGAUAUCGGGAAGAACACCAGUGGCGAAGGCGCUCUGCUGGGCCAUUACUGACGCUCAUGGACGAAAGCCAGGGGAGCGAAAGGGAUUAGAUACCCCUGUAGUCCUGGCCGUAAACGAUGAACACUAGGUGUCGGGGGAAUCGACCCCUUCGGUGUCGUAGCUAACGCGUUAAGUGUUCCGCCUGGGGAGUACGCACGCAAGUGUGAAACUCAAAGGAAUUGACGGGGGCCCGCACAAGCGGUGGAGUAUGUGGUUUAAUUCGAUGCAACGCGAAGAACCUUACCAGGGCUUGACAUCCUGCGAACCUUUAAGAAAUUAGAGGGUGCCUUCGGGAACGCAGUGACAGGUGGUGCAUGGCUGUCGUCAGCUCGUGUCGUGAGAUGUUGGGUUAAGUCCCGCAACGAGCGCAACCCACGUUUUUAGUUGCCAGCAUUUAGUUGGGCACUCUAGAAAGACCGCCGGUGAUAAACCGGAGGAAGGUGUGGAUGACGUCAAGUCAUCAUGCCCCUUACGUCCUGGGCUACACACGUACUACAAUGCUACGGACAAAGGGCAGCAAACUCGCGAGAGCUAGCAAAUCCCAUAAACCGUGGCUCAGUUCAGAUCGUAGGCUGCAACUCGCCUACGUGAAGUAGGAAUCGCUAGUAAUCGCAGGUCAGCAUACUGCGGUGAAUACGUUCCCGGGCCUUGUACACACCGCCCGUCACACCAUGGAAGUUGGCCACGCCCGAAGUCGUUACUUUAACCCUUGUGGAGAAGGACGCCGAAGGUGGGGCUGAUGACUGGGGUGAAGUCGUAACAAGGUAGCCGUACCGGAAGGUGCGGCUG